rnacentral:rRNA from 1 species
GGACGAACGCUGGCGGCGUGCUUAACACAUGCAAGUCGAGCGGUAAGGCCCUUUCGGGGGUACACGAGCGGCGAACGGGUGAGUAACACGUGGGUGACCUGCCCUCAGCUCUGGGAUAAGCCUGGGAAACCGGGUCUAAUACUGGAUAUGACUCCAUGACGCAUGUUGUGGGGUGGAAAGCCUUGUGCGGCUGAGGAUGGGCCCGCGGCCUAUCAGCUUGUUGGUGGGGUGANGGCCUACCAAGGCGACGACGGGUAGCCGGCCUGAGAGGGCGACCGGCCACACUGGGACUGAGACACGGCCCAGACUCCUACGGGAGGCAGCAGUGGGGAAUCUUGCGCAAUGGGCGAAAGCCUGACGCAGCGACGCCGCGUGAGGGAUGACGGCCU